AUUGAACGCUGGCGGCAGGCCUAACACAUGCAAGUCGAGCGGAUGAAGGGAGCUUGCUCCUGGAUUCAGCGGCGGACGGGUGAGUAAUGCCUAGGAAUCUGCCUGGUAGUGGGGGAUAACGUCCGGAAACGGGCGCUAAUACCGCAUACGUCCUGAGGGAGAAAGUGGGGGAUCUUCGGACCUCACGCUAUCAGAUGAGCCUAGGUCGGAUUAGCUAGUUGGUGGGGUAAAGGCCUACCAAGGCGACGAUCCGUAACUGGUCUGAGAGGAUGAUCAGUCACACUGGAACUGAGACACGGUCCAGACUCCUACGGGAGGCAGCAGUGGGGAAUAUUGGACAAUGUGCGAAAGCCUGAUCCAGCCAUGCCGCGUGUGUGAAGAAGGUCUUCGGAUUGUAAAGCACUUUAAGUUGGGAGGAAGGGCAGUAAGUUAAUACCUUGCUGUUUUGACGUUACCAACAUAAUAAGCACCGGCUAACUUCGUG
rnacentral:rRNA from 1 species